GGUAACGUCACAGCUGUUACGUAUUAAGCAACAACCUUUCUUCCCAAUUGAAAGUGCUUUACAACCCAAGGCCUUCUUCACACACGCGGCAUGGCUGCGUCAGGGUUUGCCCCCCAUUGCGCAAUAUUCCCCA
rnacentral:rRNA from 1 species